rnacentral:rRNA from 1 species
GACGAACGCUGGCGGCGUGCCUAAUACAUGCAAGUUGAGCGAUGAAGAUUGGUGCUUGCACCAAUUUGAAGAGCAGCGAACGGGUGAGUAACGCGUGGGGAAUCUGCCUUUGAGCGGGGGACAACAUUUGGAAACGAAUGCUAAUACCGCAUAACAACUUUAAACAUAAGUUUUAAGUUUGAAAGAUGCAAUUGCAUCACUCAGAGAUGAUCCCGCGUUGUAUUAGCUAGUUGGUGAGGUAAAGACUCACCAAGGCGAUGAUACAUAGCCGACCUGAGAGGGUGAUCGGCCACAUUGGGACUGAGACACGGCCCAAACUCCUACGGGAGGCAGCAGUAGGGAAUCUUCGGCAAUGGACGAAAGUCUGACCGAGCAACGCCGCGUGAGUGAAGAAGGUUUUCGGAUCGUAAAACUCUGUUGGUAGAGAAGAACGUUGGUGAGAGUGGAAAGCUCAUCAAGUGACGGUAACUACCCAGAAAGGGACGGCUAACUACGUG